rnacentral:rRNA from 1 species
UACGUAGGGGGCAAGCGUUGUCCGGAAUUAUUGGGCGUAAAGAGCGUGUAGGCGGUCCGGUAAGUCAGCUGUGAAAGUCGGGGGCUCAACCCUCGGAUGCCGAUCGAUACUGUCGGGCUAGAGUCCGGAAGAGGCGAGUGGAAUUCCUGGUGUAGCGGUGAAAUGCGCAGAUAUCAGGAGGAACACCAAUGGCGAAGGCAGCUCGCUGGGACGGUACUGACGCUGAGGCGCGAAAGCGUGGGGAGCAAACAGG